GACGAACGCUGGCGGCGUGCUUAACACAUGCAAGUCGAACGGAAAGGCCCUGCUUUUGUGGGGUGCUCGAGUGGCGAACGGGUGAGUAACACGUGAGUAACCUGCCCUUGACUUUGGGAUAACUUCAGGAAACUGGGGCUAAUAUCGGAUAGGAGCUCCUGCUGCAUGGUGGGGGUUGGAAAGUUUCGGCGGUUGGGGAUGGACUCGCGGCUUAUCAGCUUGUUGGUGGGGUAGUGGCUUACCAAGGCUUUGACGGGUAGCCGGCCUGAGAGGGUGACCGGCCACAUUGGGACUGUGAUACGGCCCAGACUCCUACGGGAGGCAGCAGUGGGGAAUAUUGCACAAUGGGCGGAAGCCUGAUGCAGCAACGCCGCGUGCGGGAUGACGGCCUUCGAGUUGUAAACCGCUUUCGCCUGUGACGAAGCGUGAGUGACGGUAAUGGGUAAAGAAGCACCGGCUAACUACGUG
rnacentral:rRNA from 1 species